rnacentral:rRNA from 1 species
AUUGAACGCUGGCGGCAUGCCUUACACAUGCAAGUCGAACGGUAACGGGCCUUCGGUUGCCGUCGAGUGGCGCACGGGUGAGUAAUACUUCGGAACGUGCCCGAUCGUGGGGGAUAACGAGGCGAAAGCUUUGCUAAUACCGCAUACGAUCUACUGUUUAAAGCAGGGGACCGCAAUGCCUUGCGCGGACGGAGCGGCCGCUGGCAGAUUAGGUAGUUGGUGGGUUAAAAGCUUACCAAGCCGACGAUCUGUAGCUGGUCUGAGAGGAUGAUCAGCCACACUGGGACUGAGACACGGCCCAGACUCCUACGGGAGGCAGCAGUGGGGAAUUUUGGACAAUGGGCGCAAGCCUGAUCCAGCCAUGCCGCGUGAAGGAUGAAGGCCUUCGGGUUGUAAACUGCUUUUGUACGGAACGAAAAGCCUUCUUUUAAUACAGGAGGGUCAUGACGGUACCGUAAGAAUAAGCACCGGCUAACUACGUG